UACGGAGGGGUCAAGCGUUGUUCGGAAUCACUGGGCGUAAAGGGCGUGUAGGCGGUCCGCUAAGUCUGAUGUGAAAAGCCCGGGGCUCACCCCCCGGAAGGGCAUUGGAAACUGGCGGACUCGAGUCUCGGAGAGGAAGGUGGAAUUCCGUGGUGUAGCGGUGAAAUGCGUAGAUAUCAGGAGGAAUACCGGUGGCGAAGGCGGCCUUCUGGGACGAUGACUGACGCUGAGAACGCGAAAAGCGUGGGGGAGCAAACAGG
rnacentral:rRNA from 1 species